rnacentral:rRNA from 1 species
AUUGAACGCUGGCGGCAUGCCUUACACAUGCAAGUCGAACGGCAGCACGGGGAGCAAUCCUGGUGGCGAGUGGCGAACGGGUGAGUAAUAUAUCGGAACGUGCCCAGUCGUGGGGGAUAACGUAGCGAAAGCUACGCUAAUACCGCAUACGAUCUACGGAUGAAAGCGGGGGAUCGCAAGACCUCGCGCGAUUGGAGCGGCCGAUAUCAGAUUAGCUAGUUGGUGAGGUAAAGGCUCACCAAGGCGACGAUCUGUAGCUGGUCUGAGAGGACGACCAGCCACACUGGAACUGAGACACGGUCCAGACUCCUACGGGAGGCAGCAGUGGGGAAUUUUGGACAAUGGGCGCAAGCCUGAUCCA